UACGGAGGUUGCAAGCGUUAUCCGGAUUCACUGGGUUUAAAGGGUGCGUAGGCGGGUUGGUAAGUCAGUGGUUAAAGCCUUCAGCUUAACUGAAGAGGUGCCAUUGAUACUGCCAGCCUAGAGUGUGGUUGAGGUGGCUGGAAUGUGUCAUGUAGCGGUGAAAUGCGUAGAUAUGACACAGAACACCGAUGGCGAAGGCAGGUCACCAAGCCACCACUGACGCUGAGGCACGAAAGCGUGGGGAGCAAACAGG
rnacentral:rRNA from 1 species